GACGGAAGGUGCAAGCGUUGCUCGGAAUCAUUGGGCGUAAAGGGUGCGUAGGCGGCUUGGUCAGUCGGGUGUGAAAGCCCUGGGCUCAGCCCGGGAAGGGCACUCGAAACUGCCGAGCUGGAGUGCCGGAGGGGAGAGUGGAAUUCCUGGUGUAGCGGUGAAAUGCGUAGAGAUCGGGAGGAAGGCCGGUGGCGAAGGCGGCGCUCUGGAACGUUUCUGACGCUGAGGCUCGAAAGCGUGGGGAGCAAACAGG
rnacentral:rRNA from 1 species